rnacentral:rRNA from 1 species
UGGGGAAUAUUGCACAAUGGGCGCAAGCCUGAUGCAGCCAUGCCGCGUGUAUGAAGAAGGCCUUCGGGUUGUAAAGUACUUUCAGCGGGGAGGAAGGCGAUAAGGUUAAUAACCUUGUCGAUUGACGUUACCCGCAGAAGAAGCACCGGCUAACUCCGUGCCAGCAGCCGCGGUAAUACGGAGGGUGCAAGCGUUAAUCGGAAUUACUGGGCGUAAAGCGCACGCAGGCGGUCUGUCAAGUCGGAUGUGAAAUCCCCGGGAUCAACCUGGGAACUGCAUUCGAAACUGGCAGGCUAGAGUCUUGUAGAGGGGGGUAGAAUUCCAGGUGUAGCGGUGAAAUGCGUAGAGAUCUGGAGGAAUACCGGUGGCGAAGGCGGCCCCCUGGACAAAGACUGACGCUCAGGUGCGAAAGCGUGGGGAGCAAACA